rnacentral:rRNA from 1 species
GACGAACGCUGGCGGCGUGCUUAACACAUGCAAGUCGAACGGUGAAGCGCCUUCCUUUUUGGUGGGUGGGGAUGCGUGGCGAACGGGUGAGUAACACGUGAGUAACCUGCCCCCUUCUUCUGGAUAACCGCAUGAAAGCGUGGCUAAUACGGGAUAUUCUGGGUCUGUCGCAUGAUGGGUCUGGGAAAGAUAUUGUUUCGGUGGGGGAUGGGCUCGCGGCCUAUCAGCUUGUUGGUGGGGUGAUGGCCUACCAAGGCGGGUAGGGGUCGCCGGCCUGAGAGGGUGGACGGCCAGAGUGGGAGUGAGACACCGCUGAGACUCCGACAGGGGGCAGAAGCGGGGAAUAUGGCACAGUGGGCGCAAGCCUGAUGCAGCGACGCGGCGUGAGGGAUGGAGGCCUUCGGGUUGUGAACCUCUUUCGCCAGUGAAGCAGGCCUGCCUCGUUUGUGGGUGGGUUGACGGUAGCUGGAUAAGAAGCGCCGGCUAACUACGUG